rnacentral:lncRNA from 1 species
UUUUAAGUAGGUAUGGAUCGAUACUACUAUGUGGAAAAUUAACUAGAAAGAACACUUGACUGUUACUAUCUAUUUAGGAAAAGUAUUCUUAAAUUGUAACAUGCUUUAUUGUGUCAUAUACUCGACAACUGUAACUUUUAAUCACUGGUUAUAGAUUAUAUGACAACGUACCAAAUUAAAAUUCCCUUAAUUAUGGGAUCGUUCGCUAUACAUUAUUUUUAAGUUCACUGUUAGGAGUUCAAAUUUAUAGAGUCAAAAUAUUGACAUUCUGUAGGUUUCUGCAGCUUCAAUAAGCUGUCAUAGCAGAUUCUUGUAGGAUUUUUUAUUGCAACAAGUUAAGGUGAUUUUUCUUUCACAAGGAAGUUUUAUUCUUACAUAACUUAUGUUGCCAGAUCUUUCUAUUUUGAAUGAAAAGUUGGA